rnacentral:rRNA from 1 species
GGCCUAAUACAUGCAAGUCGAACGGGAUUGAGGAGCUUGCUUCUCAUGAGAGUGGCGUACGGGUGCGUAACGCGUAUGCAACCUACCUUCAUCAGGGGGAUAGCCCGAAGAAAUUCGGAUUAACACCGCAUAACAUUACUGAAUGGCAUCAUUUGGUAAUCAAAUAUUUAUAGGAUGAAGAUGGGCAUGCGUGUCAUUAGCUAGUUGGUGAGGUAACGGCUCACCAAGGCGACGAUGACUAGGGGAUCUGAGAGGAUGACCCCCCACACUGGUACUGAGACACGGACCAGACUCCUACGGGAGGCAGCAGUAAGGAAUAUUGGUCAAUGGAGGCAACUCUGAACCAGCCAUGCCGCGUGCAGGAAGACUGCCCUAUGGGUUGUAAACUGC